UCUUUCCAAUGAAAUUAGUUUCAUCCAAUUUUUUCAUCGGAGCAAAACGUUAUGGUGGAUCUACUUCAGCCUAUCAAAACAGUCCACCAAAGGACAGAUUUGACAUUAUUUGAUUUUUAAGGGUAUUUUGGUCAUUCCCACUCCAAUCCAUGUGGGUAAACCAUGGAUUUAAGUCCAUUAAGAUCAUUCAAUAGCUCAUUUUACUCCAAAAUUUCCUAAGGCUCAAACCCC
rnacentral:lncRNA from 1 species